rnacentral:rRNA from 1 species
CCCUUAGAUGUUCUGGGCCGCACGCGCGCUACACUGACAGAGCCAGCGAGUUUUUUUCCUUGGCCGGAAGGUCUGGGUAAUCUUGUGAAACUCUGUCGUGCUGGGGAUAGAGCAUUGCAAUUAUUGCUCUUCAACGAGGAAUUCCUAGUAAGCGUGAGUCAUCAGCUCGCGUUGAUUACGUCCCUGCCCUUUGUACACACCGCCCGUCGCUACUACCGAUUGAAUGGCUUAGUGAGGUCUUGGGAUUGGCUUCGGGGAGCCGGCAACGGCACCCUGUCGCUGAGAACUUGAUCAAACUUGGUCAUUUAGAGGAAGUAAAANUCGUANCA